CUUUUUCCUCUGUACUCAUUCAAAACUGAUAUAUGUUUUUGCUGCUGUGAGUCCGUCUGCAGACGCUUGAAGUAAACCUACAGAAAGACAAGUGAUUGCCUUGAGUGUUUCUUUAUUCCGAAGAAAUUGGCACUACAAUUUGGCGUUGUCGGCAUUUUCACUCGUGUGAGAGGACUUGGGCGCUCGGAGCGGCAGGUUAAGACCGUGCACGGCUAGAGUCUGGGACUCUGUACCUCAACCUCCCCGGCAAGGAAGGGUGGAGAUGUGGGGGCUUGCUGCCCUGAGUGUCUGAGGCUCGCUCACCGCUGUGAUCCAGUGAACCUAGUGGCUGUGGCAGCACUCUCUUUCAUUGUGCCAAGCUGGAUCUGGACCUGGACUCGGCCCCCGUCAAGGAAGACAGCCUCAACAAAGAGCAGCAGCAGCUACAGCAGCAGCAGCACCAGUAGAGGCACAACCACCAACUGCGGCCUCGAUACACCUGGAUGAGGCAACAGGAGGACAAGGA